rnacentral:rRNA from 1 species
ACCAUGCAAGUCGAACGAUGAUGCCCACUUGUGGGUGGAUUAGUGGCGAACGGGUGAGUAACACGUGAGUAACCUGCCCUUAACUCUGGGAUAAGCCUGGGAAACUGGGUCUAAUACCGGAUAUGACUCCUCAUCGCAUGGUGGGGGGUGGAAAGCUUUAUUGUGGUUUUGGAUGGACUCGCGGCCUAUCAGCUUGUUGGUGAGGUAAUGGCUCACCAAGGCGACGACGGGUAGCCGGCCUGAGAGGGUGACCGGCCACACUGGGACUGAGACACGGCCCAGACUCCUACGGGAGGCAGCAGUGGGGAAUAUUGCACAAUGGGCGAAAGCCUGAUGCAGCGACGCCGCGUGAGGGAUGACGGCCUUCGGGUUGUAAACCUCUUUCAGUAGGGAAGAAGCGAAAGUGACGGUACCUGCAGAAGAAGCGCCGGCUAACUACGUGCCAGCAGCCGCGGUAAUACGUAGGGCGCAAGCGUUAUCCGGAAUUAUUGGGCGUAAAGAGCUCGUAGGCGGUUUGUCGCGUCUGCCGUGAAAGUCCGGGGCUCAACUCCGGAUCUGCGGUGGGUACGGGCAGACUAGAGUGAUGUAGGGGAGACUGGAAUUCCUGGUGUAGCGGUGAAAUGCGCAGAUAUCAGGAGGAACACCGAUGGCGAAGGCAGGUCUCUGGGCAUUAACUGACGCUGAGGAGCGAAAGCAUGGGGAGCGAACAGGAUUAGAUACCCUGGUAGUCCAUGCCGUAAACGUUGGGCACUAGGUGUGGGGGACAUUCCACGUUUUCCGCGCCGUAGCUAACGCAUUAAGUGCCCCGCCUGGGGAGUACGGCCGCAAGGCUAAAACUCAAAGAAUUGACGGGGGUCCCGCACAAGCGCGAGCAUGCGAUUAUUCGAUGCACGCGAGACCUUACCAGCUUGACAUGAACCGGAAAUACCU